rnacentral:rRNA from 1 species
UACAGAGGUCUCAAGCGUUGUUCGGAUUCAUUGGGCGUAAAGGGUGUGUAGGUGGCGCCGUAAGUCAGGUGUGAAAUCUCGGGGCUUAACUCCGAAACUGCAUUUGAUACUGCGGUGCUUGAGGACUGGAGAGGAGACUGGAAUUUAUGGUGUAGCAGUGAAAUGCGUAGAUAUCAUAAGGAAGACCAGUGGCGAAGGCGGGUCUCUGGACAGUUACUGACGCUGAUGCACGAAGGCCAGGGGAGCAAACGGG